rnacentral:rRNA from 1 species
GGUGAACGCUGGCGGCGUGCCUAAUACAUGCAAGUCGAGCGAACGGACGAGAAGCUUGCUUCUCUGAUGUUAGCGGCGGACGGGUGAGUAACACGUGGAUAACCUACCUAUAAGACUGGGAUAACUUCGGGAAACCGGAGCUAAUACCGGAUGAUAUUUUGAACCGCAUGGUUCAAAAGUGAAAGACGGUCUUGCUGUCACUUAUAGAUGGAUCCGCGCUGCAUUAGCUAGUUGGUAAGGUAACGGCUUACCAAGGCAACGAUGCAUAGCCGACCUGAGAGGGUGAUCGGCCACACUGGAACUGAGACACGGUCCAGACUCCUACGGGAGGCAGCAGUAGGGAAUCUUCCGCAAUGGGCGAAAGCCUGGCGGAGCAACGCCGCGUGAGUGAUGAAGGUCUUCGGAUCGUAAAACUCUGUUAUUAGGGAAGAACAUAUGUGUAAGUAACUGUGCACAUCUUGACGGUACCUAAUCAGAAAGCCACGGCUAACUACGUG